AAUCAACGCUGGCGGCGUGCCUCAGACAUGCAAGUCGAACGAUUAAAGCUCUCUUCGGAGAGUGUAUAGAGUGGCGCACGGGUGAGUAACACGUAAGUAAUCUACCCUCGAGUGGGGAAUAACAACCGGAAACGGUUGCUAAUACCGCAUAAUGCAGCGGCACCGCAAGGUGACAGUUGUUAAAGAUUUAUCGCUUGAGGAGGAGCUUGCGGCAGAUUAGCUAGUUGGUAGGGUAACGGCUUACCAAGGCUACGAUCUGUAACCGGUCUAAGAGGACGGUCGGUCACACUGACACUGAAUAACGGGUCAGACUCCUACGGGAGGCAGCAGUCGGGAAUUUUGGGCAAUGGGCGAAAGCCUGACCCAGCAACGCCGCGUGAAGGAUGAAGUAUUUCGGUAUGUAAACUUUGAAAGAAUAGGAAGAAUUAAU
rnacentral:rRNA from 1 species